CGCACAUUGCGCCCUCUGGUAUUCCGGGGGGCAUACCUGUCCGAGCGUCAUUGCAACCCUCAAGCAUAGCUUGGUAUUGAGCCUCGCCUUGUUAAAGGUGUGCUCGAAAAGCAGUGGCUGUCCGGCGUGACUUUGAGUGUAGUAAAUUUCUCCCGCUCUGAAGUUCACGUCGUGAUGUCCAUAACAUCCUCAAGAUUGACCUCGGAUCAGGUAGGGAUACCCGCUGAACUUAA
rnacentral:misc_RNA from 1 species